UAACACAUGCAAGUCGAGCGAAGCACAUAAUUUUGAUUCUUCGGAUGAACACUUUUGUGACUGAGCGGCGGACGGGUGAGUAACGCGUGGGUAACCUGCCUCAUACAGGGGGAUAACAGUUACAAAUGGCUGCUAGUACCGCAUAAUGACCACAGUUACUGCAUGGUACAGUGGUAAAAACUCCGGUGGUAUGAGAUGGACCCGCGUCUGAUUAAGUAGUUGGUGAGGUAACGGCCCACCAAGCCGACGAACAGUAGCCGACCUGAGAGGGUGGCCGGCCACAUUGGCACUGACACACGGCCCACACUCCUACGGAAGGCAGCACAGGGGAAUAUAGCACAAUGCGCCAAAGCCUGAUGCAGCAACACCGCGCGAAGGAUGAAAUAUUUCGGUAUGAAAACUUCUAUCAGCAGGAAAGAAAAUGACUUGUACCUGACUAAAAAACCCCGGCUAACUACAUGCCAGCAGCCGCGGUAAUACGUAUAGGGGCAAGCGUUAUCCGGAUUUACUGGGUGUGAAGGGAGCGUAUACGGCUGUGCACGUCUGAAGUGAAAGGCAUGGACUCAACCUGUGCACUGCUUUGGAAACUGAGCAUCUAGAGUGUCAGAGAGGUAAAUGGAAUUCCUGGGGUAGCGGUGAAAUGUGUAGAUAUUAGGAGGAACACCAGUGGAGAAGGCGGCUUACUGGACGAUGACUGAAGUUGAGGCUCGAAAGCGUGGGGAGCAAACAGGAUUAGAUACCCUGGUAGUCCACGCCGUUAACGAUGACUGUUAGGUGUCGGGUAGCAAAGCUAUUCGGUGCCGCAGAUAACGCAAUAAGCAGUCCACAUGGGGAGUACGUUCGCAAGGAUGAAACUCAAAGGAAUUGACGGGGACCCGCACAAGCGGUGGAGCAUGUGGUUUAAUUUGAAGCAACGCGAAGAUCCUUACGUGAUCUUGACAUCCCGAUGACCGAUUCGUAAUGGAAGCUUUUCUUCGGAACAUCGGUGACAGGUGGUGCAUGGUUGUCGUCAGCUCGUGUCGUGAGAUGUUGGGUUAAUUCCCGCAACGAGCGCAACCAUUAUCUUCAGUAGCCAGCAUUAAGGAUGGGCACUCUGGAGAGAUUGCCAGGGAUAACCUGGAGGAAGGUGGGGAUGACGUCAAAUCAUCAUGCCCCUUAUGACCAGGGCUUCACACGUGCUACAAUGGCGUAAACAAAGGGAAGCAGAGCCGCGAGGCCGAGCAAAUCUCAAAAAUAACGUCUCAGUUUGGAUUGUAGUAUGCAACUCGACUACAUGAAGCUGGAAUCGCUAGUAAUCGCAGAUCAGAAUGUUGCGGAGAAUACGUUCCCGGGUUUUGUACACACCGCCCGUCACACCAUGGGAGUCAGUAACGCCCGAAGUCAGUGACCCAACCAAAAGGAGGGAGCUGCCGAAGGUGGGACCGAUAACUGGGGUGAA
rnacentral:rRNA from 1 species